rnacentral:misc_RNA from 1 species
UCGCGGCUUAUCACCGGCAGUCCCCUUAGAGUGCCCAACUGAAUGAUGGCAACUAAGGGCGAGGGUUGCGCUCGUUGCGGGACUUAACCCAACAUCUCACGACACGAGCUGACGACAGCCAUGCAGCACCUGUGUGGCGUCCAGCCGAACUGAAGGGGUCAAUCUCUCGACCCCGCGACGCCCAUGUCAAGGGCUGGUAAGGUUCUGCGCGUUGUGUCGAAUUAAACCACAUGCUCCACCGCUUGUGCGGGCCCCCGUCAAUUCCUUUGAGUUUCAACCUUGCGGUCGUACUCCCCAGGCGGGGUACUUCCUGCGUUAGCGCCGGCACCCAGAGGGUCGCUCCCCCAGGCACCUAGUACCCAUCGUUUACGGCGUGGACUAC